UUAAAAAGCUCGUAGUUGGAUUUCUGUGAGAGUAUGAUGUCCUAACGUGUUUAGAGCGCAGAAAACUCUUGCAUCCUUCUGUUACCUCCACGUGGCAUUCACUUGCCAGUGGUUGGCUCAGAGAAUUUACCUUGAGAAAAUUAGAGUGUUUCAGGCAGGCUAGGCCGGAAUACAUUAGCAUGGAAUAAUAGAAUAGGACUCCGGUCUCGUUGUUGGUUUGAGGGACUAUAGUAAUGAUUAAUAGGGAUAGUUGGGGGCAUUAGUAUUCGAUUGUCAGAGGUGAAA
rnacentral:rRNA from 1 species